AAAACAUCACAGAUUUAUUUACUACUGUAUAGUCAGAGACAAACCAUGUCUUCCACUCAAUCUCAGCUGAAAACAUUACAGCACAAGAAUUAUAUCCUUUAAAGCAGGGGUCAUCAACUCGCUCCAGAAAGGACUACGAGGGUGCAGGUUUUCAUUCCAGCCACCCACUCCACCAG